GGCGCGUGGAGGAAGUGUCCAGCGCCGAGUCCCGGGACUGGAAGUGAUGGAGCAGAGUCCGAGUUUGCCUUUCAGUUCUUGUAUAAAAAGAAGUUUUGACGCGAGCGUGAUUCACACUAACAGUCGAAAACUCUGGGCGGGGGCGUCCCGGCGCUUUGGGAGGCGGAGGCGGGCGGAGCUGUUGAGUCCAGCACUUCGGCCCGGCCUGGGCAGCUUGGCGAAACUUCAUCCCUACAAAAAUUACAGAAGCCGCCGGGCGCGGUGGCGGGCUCCUGUGGGCCUAGCUGCCCCGGGGGCUGAGGCGGGAGGAUCGCCUGAGCCCUCAGUCGGGGCCUCAGGGAGCCGAGAUCACUGCACUCCAGCCCGGUCGACCGCCAGACUCUGCCAGAAAAGAAAAAAAAAAUGCAGGCCGGGCGCGGUGGCUCACGCCUGUAAUCUCAGCACUUUGGGAGGCUGAGGCGGGCGGAUCACCUGAGGUGGGAUGUUCGAGACCAGCCUGACCAACAUGGAGACACCCCUGUCUCUGCUAAAAAUACAAAAUUAGAGCAAGCCCGUAAUCCCAGCUACUCUGGAGACUGAGGCGGAGGCUGCAGUGAGCCGAGAUCGCGCCAUUGUACUCCAGCCUGGGCAACGACAGCGAAACUCCAUCUCAAAAAAAAAAAAAGCAAAACACAAUUCAGUUGCCCACCCAGAUGUUGAAUGGACCCAGAGCCAAGGACCAGUGUCUUAUCAGUGGCACCUGAGACUUUCUUCCCUGUGGACGCGAAUCCAUUAUUCAGCGCUCCGGGCACAGCUAUAGAUCUGAUCAGCUAUCCAUUCUCCCCGCUGUCUCAUCCUCUGUCCCAUUUUUCUGUCUCUCUUGUCCACAAGGCAUAUGCCUGAGGGUUCUUUCAAAUUCCUCGAAGAAAUUUAGAUAUUCUGUGGCUUUGGCAUUCACCUGUGUUAAUCUACAAACCUCUUCUACAAUGUAAAUUUUUUUUCAAGAUGUAAUUCAAGUGGUUCCUAGUGUUCUCUUCAUAGACUUGUAAACCAAAAAUAAAAUUCUUGGCCAGUGUGAUGGCUCACGCCUGUAA